UAGAGUUUGAUCCUGGCUCAGAUUGAACGCUGGCGGCAGGCCUAACACAUGCAAGUCGAGCGGUAACACAGAGGAGCUUGCUCCUUGGGUGACGAGCGGCGGACGGGUGAGUAAUGCCUGGGGAUCUGCCCGAUAGAGGGGGAUAACUACGGGAAACUGUAGCUAAUACCGCAUAACGUCUACGGACCAAAGUGGGGGCUCUUCGGACCUCAUGCUAUCGGAUGAACCCAGGUGGGAUUAGCUAGUUGGUGAGGUAAUGGCUCACCAAGGCGACGAUCUCUAACUGGUUUGAGAGAAUGACCAGUCACACUGGAACUGAGACACGGUCCAGACUCCUACGGGAGGCAGCAGUGGGGAAUAUUGCACAAUGGGCGCAAGCCUGAUGCAGCCAUGCCGCGUGUGUGAAGAAGGCCUUCGGGUAGUAAAGCACUUUCAGCGGGGAGGAAGGGUCACUAGUUAAUACCUAGUGGCAUUGACGUUACUCGCAGAAGAAGCACCGGCUAACUCCGUGCCAGCAGCCGCGGUAAUACGGAGGGUGCAAGCGUUAAUCGGAAUUACUGGGCGUAAAGCGCACGCAGGCGGUUUGUUAAGUCAGAUGUGAAAUCCCCGAGCUCAACUUGGGAACUGCAUUUGAAACUGGCAAGCUAGAGUCUUGUAGAGGGGGGUAGAAUUCCAGGUGUAGCGGUGAAAUGCGUAGAGAUCUGGAGGAAUACCGGUGGCGAAGGCGGCCCCCUGGACAAAGACUGACGCUCAGGUGCGAAAGCGUGGGGAGCAAACAGGACUCGAUACCCUGGUAGUCCACG
rnacentral:rRNA from 1 species